rnacentral:rRNA from 1 species
AACGCGAAGAACCUUACCUGGGCUUGACAUGCUGGUGUAAGCCGGUGGAAACAUCGGCCCCUCUUCGGAGCGCCAGCACAGGUGCUGCAUGGCUGUCGUCAGCUCGUGUCGUGAGAUGUUGGGUUAAGUCCCGCAACGAGCGCAACCCUCGCUCCCAGUUGCCAGCGAGUCAUGUCGGGGACUCUGGGGGGACUGCCGGCGUUAAGCCGGAGGAAGGUGGGGACGACGUCAAGUCAUCACGGCCCUUACGUCCAGGGCGACACACGUGCUACAAUGCCUGGUACAGCGCGUCGCGAACCCGCGAGGGGGAGCCAAUCGCUAAAAGCCGGGCUAAGUUCGGAUUGCAGUCUGCAACUCGACUGCAUGAAGCCGGAAUCGCUAGUAAUCGCGGAUCAGCCACGCCGCGGUGAAUACGUUCCCGGGCCUUGUACACACCGUAGUAC